UCGCCUGUUUAUCAAAAACAUUGCCUCCUGAAAUUUAUAGAAGGUACAUCCUGCCCGGUGACCCAAGGGUUUAACGGCCGCGGUAUCCUGACCGUGCUAAGGUAGCGUGAUAAUUCGCCCUUUAAUUGUGGGCUUGUAUGAAUGGACAAACGAGGGCCAAGCUGUCUCCUAAGUACCCCUAAAAGUUGGCCUUUAGGUGAAAAGACCUAAAUCUAAUCAAAGGACAAGAAGACCCCGUAGAGCUUUGUUCUUAUAUAGUAUGGGGAAAAGUAAUUUAUUUUUUUCCUAUACCUAAAAAAAGAACUCAGCUGGGGCGGCUGAGGAAAAUUUUAAUCUUCCAUCUAAAUCAGAUCUUUGAAUAGCGCAAUUAGGCCCUACGCCUUAACCUAAAUUGACCCCCAUUAGGAUCAGAAAAAAUAGCUACCUCGGGGAUAACAGAUUAAUCCUUCUUGAGAGUUCACAUUGACAGAAGGGCUUGACACCUCGAUGUUGGCUUAGGAAAUCCCGGAGGUUGCAGAAGCUUCCAAAGGUAGGUUUGUUCAACCUUUAAAAUCCCUACGUGAUCUGAUCUGAGUUCAGACCGG
rnacentral:rRNA from 1 species